rnacentral:sRNA from 2 species
UAUUUUUUAGCACCGAAUUCCCGGGUAGGCGGGAAACGGGGGAUAUUUUUGGGGUGAAGAGCCAAAGGCUCCGGGCUAACUCUCGGUCCGAACCCGUCAACUAACCUCGUAGGUGUGCGAGAGUGGAGGU